GGGCCCGCACAAGCGGUGGAGCAUGUGGUUUAAUUCGACGCAACGCGAAGAACCUUACCCAGACUCGACAUGCAUCGGACAGGUGUGGAAACACACUCUCCCUUCGGGGCCGGUGCACAGGUGCUGCAUGGCUGUCGUCAGCUCGUGUCGUGAGAUGUUGGGUUAAGUCCCGCAACGAGCGCAACCCUUGUCCUUAGUUGCUAACGGGUAAUGCUGAGCACUCUAAGGAGACUGCCGGUGAUAAACCGGAGGAAGGUGGGGAUGACGUCAAGUCCUCAUGGCCCUUACGUCUGGGGCUACACACGUGCUACAAUGGCCGGUACAGAGGGUUCCGAUACCGCGAGGUGGAGGCAAUCCCAAAAAACCGGUCUCAGUUCGGAUUGCAGUCUGCAACUCGACUGCAUGAAGUCGGAAUCGCUAGUAAUCGCUGAUCAGCAGGCAGCGGUGAAUACGUUCCCGGGCCUU
rnacentral:rRNA from 1 species